AGCGAGGCUAGAGUCACAUCCUGAUGUUCUCAUUAUCUUGGUGUGCUAGAGUGCUCGCAGAUUAAAAACUCACUGCUUAUUCAUUGGCUGCUGCUUCUCAUUGCCCAGCCAAUCACCAGCUCUGAAACAAAU